GCGCGCCCGCCGGCUGCAGCGCCCCCUAUCGCGGGGGAGGACGCACUGCAUCCCCUCCCUCCCCUCGCGCCGCGACCCCGGCCCGGGGCGGCGCCUCCCGCGGGCCGAGUCACCCCGCGUGACCCGGCGGGGCCUGGGGAGAGGGCCGGCGGUCAGUGCUGUGGGGAAUCCCGAUGGAAAAAUAUCAAUAAAAAAGGAACAUGCCAGAGGAGAGUGCAACCCUUUAAACCACGGAGUAUAUUCAUAUUUGAUCCUGUAACAGCAAUAGAAAUUUAAUGGUAUUUUUGCAAAUUUUAAAAAAUCUUUCAGAGUGCACUCCAACAAUAAAAACCAAUGUGCAUGGCAAAUAAAAUCUGGAUGAAAGCAGUGAGACCUCAGAAGUUUGAAUCUCCAACAGUGUCAGGAUCAUCAUCACACCUGAUCUUCUCACAAGAGCUUCCGCAGUGCCACACGUGCAGCCUCCUCCUCUGCAGCCAGCAGUGUUUCACCAGGGCCUUCAGCUAAAAUCUUCUUAUCACU